rnacentral:SRP_RNA from 1 species
UCGUGCUAGACGGGGAGGUAGCGGUGCCCUGUAGCCUGCAACCCGCUAUAGCAGGGUUGAAUUCCAUGAUGCGGCCGGUUUUCGUAAGUCCGGCCUGAUUAAGUGGUGUUGAGAAUUGGGUCUCGCGCAACAAAGACUUAUAAACCCCGCCAGGUCCGGAAGGAAGCAACGGUAAGUAAGAACCUUUGUGUGCCGUGGGGUUGCCUGGUAGGAGCCGGCUGAUAAGGCGCGUUUGGGAAAAUUAGGUCAAAGCAUGGUGCACGG